rnacentral:rRNA from 1 species
UUAAUUGAAGAGUUUGAUCAUGGCUCAGAUUGAACGCUGGCGGCAGGCCUAACACAUGCAAGUCGAGCGGCAGCACAGAGGAACUUGUUCCUUGGGUGGCGAGCGGCGGACGGGUGAGUAAUGCCUGGGAAAUUGCCCGGUAGAGGGGGGAUAACCAUUGGAAACGAUGGCUAAUACCGCAUAACCUCGCAAGAGCAAAGCAGGGGACCUUCGGGCCUUGCGCUACCGGAUAUGCCCAGGUGGGAUUAGCUAGUUGGUGAGGUAAGGGCU